rnacentral:rRNA from 1 species
UACAGAGGGUGCAAGCGUUGUUCGGAAUUAUUGGGCGUAAAGCGCGUGUAGGCGGCUUAGCAAGUCGGGCGUGAAAGCCCUCGGCUCAACCGAGGAAGUGCACCCGAAACUGCUGAGCUUGAGUGCCGGAGAGGAUGGCGGAAUACCCCAAGUAGAGGUGAAAUUCGUAGAUAUGGGGUGGAACACCGGUGGCGAAGGCGGCGCUCUGGACCGAGACUGACGCUGAGGCGCGAAAGCGUGGGGGAGCAAACAGG